AAAAGAUCUGGAAAAGUAAUGGUUUGUAGGAUCCUAGGUCAGCCCUUCUGUGUAGUAGGUCAUAUCAUCAUCAUGUACAGGAAAUGGACAUCAGAUGGCACAGACUGUGGGUAAUAAGUAGCUGAGUAUGGCCUGUUUGUGCCCUUCUUGGAGAGUUUAUCCUAGUUUCUGAGCUGAUCCAUGAAAUGGGAAUUUUUGUGUAUAGGGAAGUGGCACAAGGAAAGAUGCAUAUAAAUGACAGUGUUACAUAUGUAUCUAAGUGGACCUGAUCAAAAUUUGCAAGAGGCUGUUUCCAAUUAGGUUUAAGAUAUUUGCAUGUGCCUCAAGUUCACUCGCUUUUUUUUAUUAAGAUCACACUAGCUGUAGAAACAGAUAAUGGCUUAACCCAAUUUAUUUCUUGUUUUCAUUACAUACAUAAUGGAUAUUAAUUAUCAGUGAGUUUCUCUCCUCUAACUGGUGACUCAGGGACCCAGCCUCCUUCCAUAUUAUGGUUCUGCCAUUUUCAACACAUGAUUUAAUGUAUGCUCAUCUAUAAGAAGCCAGUGGAGGGAAAAAGGCCAUGGAAGAUACUGAGUGGAAGAUUUGCAAUUGUCCUUGAAGUUGUCUACAUUACUUCUGUUCAUAUUCCAUUGGCCAAAUCUAACUGCAGGGGAGGCUGGGACAUGUAGUCUAGCUGUGUGCCCAGAAUGAAGAGCAAAUGGGUUUAGUUCUCAGGGAGCAUUCCCAGGCACACCUUAUAAAGUGACGUAUGGGGCAGUAACUUUGAGUUCUUCUGAAUUUAGAAAAUUGCUUUUGAGCACGGCACAAUGAAAACUGAAAAUGCCAUUGGUAGCCUGCAGUUUAUUCUGUAGGAGUCUUUUUAAUUAACAGCUUAAUUGGAUAAUUUAAUCCCCGUUAGAAUUGGAGAUAUGCAAAUGAAAAUGAGAUACUCCCUAUGAUCUGACAAUACUGUGCUUUAAUAAACACACCAAAGUGAGCCUGGAAAUGAGCACCACAAAAGCAUUACCAUGAUUUGUGAUCAGUGAAAGAAAACCUGAUCUAUAAUUUUAAUCAUUCCUAAAUGGUUUAGAUACAUGUUUCAUUUGAAUGUGUAUUUUGUUUUGUUAAUUGGUUCAAUUAGAAAGGUAACUGAACAUAAGAAUCUGUGGCAAAGCCAUGAAUUUAUAAUAUGUUCUAAGCUUUUAAAAUAUAUACCAUUGAGAAAGUAACUAAAAUACCCUACAAAAUACUGUUGAAAGUGCAGUAUUUUCCAGUAUUUUCAGAUAAUUUAUAUACAAUAGUUUUUACUUCUCCAUUGAUUAUGAGAUGAAAAAUACUACUUACCAUAUUCUUGUUAUAUGCUUUCUCCACUUGAAUGAGAAAUUGAGGCUCAGAGUCCAAGAAAUGAAGAUGAGUGUCCAUGUACAAGCCACAAAAGUGCUGUUCUAAUUAAUUCUGGCCGGAGACUCCACUUUACAGAGAAAGAAAAACUGAAUUCUAGAAUGCCGCUCGCGUUUGGAUUUACCUGAAAAUCAGCAUGGCACUUAGCUUAAA
rnacentral:lncRNA from 10 species